rnacentral:rRNA from 1 species
CCUACGGGAGGCAGCAGUGGGGAAUAUUGCACAAUGGGGGAAACCCUGAUGCAGCGACGCCGCGGGAGUGAAGAAGUAUCUCGGUACGUAAAGCUCUAUCAGCAGGGAAGAAAAUGACGGUCCCUGACUAAGAAGCACCGGCUAACAACGUGCCCGCAGCCGCGGUAAUACGUAGGGGGCAAGCGUUAUCCGGAUUUACUGGGUGUAAAGGGAGCGUAGACGGCAGCACAAGUCUGGAGUGAAAUCCCGGGGCUUAACCCCGGAACUGCUUUGGAGACUGUGCGGCUGGAGUGCAGGAGGGGUAAGCGGAAUUCCUAGUGUAGCGGUGGAAUGCGUAGAUAUUAGGCGGAACACCGGUGGCGAAGGCGGCUUACUGGACUGUAACUGACGUUGAGGCUCGAAAGCGUGGGGAGCAAACAGGAUUAGAUACCCGAGUAGUC